CCGAAUUCCAUUUUCGAGCCAAAAACAAAGAGCUCUCUCUUCUGUUCAUCCGCCUGUCUUCGUCUCGCUUGAGAAACCUCUCAAGUGUAUUGCAGCUCAAAAAAAUAAAAAAAUAGAAUGAACGUCUUCAACAAGAAACCUAAUCCCAGAGAGGCUCUUCGAGAGAGCAAGAGAGAAAUGCAACAUGCUACUAGAGGUAUAGAGAAGGAAAUCGGGGCACUCCAAUCAGAGGAAAAGAAGCUUGU
rnacentral:misc_RNA from 1 species